rnacentral:rRNA from 1 species
UACGUAGGGGGCAAGCGUUGUCCGGAUUCAUUGGGCGUAAAGAGCGUGUAGGCGGCCAGAUAGGUCGGUUGUGAAAACUGGAGGCUCAACCUCCAGACGUCGACCGAAACCCUCUGGCCUAGAGUCCGGAAGAGGAGAGUGGAAAUUCCUGGUGUAGCGGUGAAAUGACGGCAGAUAUCGGGAGGAACACCGGUGGCGAAGGCGGUCUCUGGGCCUUACCUGACGCUGAGGAGCCGAAAGCGUGGGGAGCGAACAGG